CAGGGAGCGGCCGGUGACCGAGGGCGGCAGGUCAGGGGUGGCGGGGGAACAUGGGGCGGUUACCGGUGUGGCCGCGCCUCGGGCCGGCGUCCUUCCCUCAUCCCCACACGGGGGAGGGCUGGAAGUGAAAAGUGGGUUCACAUCCUGGAGUACUCUUGAUGUGUGCAAAGUAUAUUCCUUUUUCAUGAAGACCUCAAGAUGCACUUCUGAGAGAUUAAUGUGCUCCAGCUGUUAACAGGCAUUCGCUCCACAAGUCCCCACUGGAGCUAGUCUGAAAUGAAACCUCUGGAAUGUAUAACAGUAUGUGCACCAGGACCUCAGAAAUGCCAGUUCCACUUGGCAGAACCGCUCUAACCGUCCUACCCUGCUUGUUAAUGCUGAUGUAACUUGUGCUUGCUCAGUUCCAGCUGUAGGUGUGGCAGAAUAGGCUGUCGCCUGACACUCGCACAUUCUUCCCUGCGCCAUCUUCACAGGCUGCACGUGUGCCUGCCAAACUCAGGUAUGAGGGAAGUUGCAUGUACAGUGUGGCUGGUAUCACCUACCAGCAAGGCUGGAUCCAGAUGACCAGUGACCUGAGUGAAGGAAGGAAGCUACUUCUGCAGUUGUACUGCACAAUGGGCUUUCAGAGCUUCUUUCUGUUAGCCACGGGGGUUCCUUUGGAACUAACAAAAGUAGGUGUAAUACUUUGCAAAGUAUAUUAUGUUAUUUUGUCAUCUGUUCUAAUGGUUAAUACCUAGCUUGUUAAAAUGUGUAUCUUUAAGCUGCAGUCAAGUUAUUUUUGGAGGGGGUCCUGGAGACAUAAUAAAAUUACUCUUAAGAUAAAAAGAAAAGCACCUUUUCUUAAAGGUGAAAAAGGAGGUGUGACUAAAGACACAAAAAAGGUGCACUUGUUUUUAAUAAAAGCAAGAAUAUUUUACACAAUUACUUCAUCUUUUGACUACAUUAUGCUGAGGGGAAAUACGUAUGUGAAUGCCAGUUAUCUGUCCAGGUCAAAGGAGGUUGUAAGUAUGCAAAGGGUUAAAACAACCAUAUGGGUUAUGAAAUUGCUCUUGCAGACAUAAAUUGCUCAAAAUAUAGUUUUCUGAAAGGCUCUUUUCUUCAAGAGGAUAGUUACAUGCAAUGGAACAAUGAAUCUGGAGCUGUAGAAACAGUGUAGAUAGACUCUUGUAGUAAUGUUUAUAAGCACCUCACCACUGGUGGUAAGGCUACAGGCGAUUAUGGUUAUUUAUAAAAUUACAAGAAACUGUUUACUGUUGACUCUCUUAAAAAAAAAGAGGGGCUUCCCCCCCCCGCUUAAAAAUUAAUGACAUUCUGAAGUUCUACUAAAGAUUCUUACUAUAGCUUGAUAUACCGGGAAAGAAACCUCAUAUGUGUAAAACAGCUGUUUCUAGGUCUGUUCUCUCUGUAUAGAAAAGUAAAUAUUUUAUCUUGGGAAAGGUAAUGCCUUGUAACAGAAGUCUCAUCAUAUCUUUGCUUUUCUGUUUCAAUCAUCCCCUCUAAGACAGCAGUUCAGUAUUGUCUUUAUGUUAGUUAUGUAUAAACAUGUAUAUCUACCAAAACACUGUAAAGAACUUGAGAAAGUAAAUUUUCACAAAAUGACAUGGGCAAAAUCCAUUUGAACACUCAUGAAUUUAAUGUAAUGUGAUGGAAGAUUGGUAGCUGGGACUGUUGCUGAACAAUUGCAGUUGCUCUGCUGUGACAUUCUCAAGGCACACUUUUUCAUAAGAUACUUUUUUGCUGAUUGCAAAUCCACAUUUUCAUCUCAGAAUUUUAAGUUACACGUAAUCCCACAGUUACUAUUGCAAUGAUAUAUAAAUUCCACCAUGCUGAGUUCAGUUGAUCUUACAGAAUUUGUAUUGGAGAAAAACAAUUACAAGCUACUUCUGUCCUACUGAAAUAAAAAGCAGUAGAAGAGCUAAAAAGCAGGAGUUAGUGUUGCUACCUUUUAGAAAAUCUUUGUUAAUACACAUUUGUUUUAUUCAUAUACUACAACUGAUAUUGAAAAAAAAUUCUAAGAAUUUGUUCAUAGAAAGCUUUAAGCUUUCAUGUCAUGUUUGGCCCUGCUAAAAUGCUCUUUUGUCCUGGUUUUGAAGCUGGGAGCUUCCUCUUCCCGGUUUGCAUCAUCAGUGGACACGCAAAUGAUGAGAUUUCAGAAAAGUGUGUCAGCCACACUGACCGAAAAUGGUUCGGAGACUCGGUAGCCACAAGAAGGUGAAAAUGACCAUUGUCGUAAAGCUCAGUGAGUUAAAGAUUGAAGUAUUUCCAGAAAAUGGCUUUAACAAACUUCAUAGCUUAACAGCUAUGAAAUACAAACUCCAUAUGGAAACAUUCAACGAGGAUACUCAAAAUGCAGUAGCUUGUUUUUGGUCUUUUUUUGUUUUGUUGGGGGUUUUUUUGUUUGGUUGGUUGUAUUUUGGGGUUUUUUAUACUGACUCACUAGAAAGAGAGCUAAUGGACCUUCACAUUUUAUUUUAAUAUUUUUAUUGCAACACUAGAAGUGAUUAAAUGAAUGCAGAAAUUUUUGGCACUUUAUGAUAUGUCUAUGUCAGAAAAUCAGAUCAAUAAUGCCAAUUCAUUAACACAAAUUUUAAGCAUCAUUUAUUAUACUUGUUUCUUAUUCAAAGGUGAUGAUUGGUCUUUUCAUUGAACAUUUCAUACAUUUCAUAUGUAGCAUAUAGUUAGCCUUGAGCCUUGGCAGAGCAGGAUCCCAGUUUAUGUAAGGCACUGAUUUUGAGUAGGCCACACUUGGUACUUUUGCCCUGUUUUGGGGUGAGCACUUUCUCUCGAGGAGCUUUUAGCUAUAAAAUAGAAAACAGAAUGCUUUAUGUAAGCAAUAGAUAGCCUCUUUUUUCCAAACAACUUACAUAAAUAUUUGCUAAAGGGGUAAAAGUAACAAUCAAACCGCGGAGUAGUUAAAUAAUAGCCUGAGACUGAGCAGCUCUUGAAAGGUGUUGGUGUUAUUAGUCCUUUUUCUUUUCUGUAAAUGAUCGAUGACAUCCAACGCAUGGUGCAUCUUCACUGUUACACGGGGCAUGAAGAGCACCCAGCCAGCGUUUCUCUGAGAUACUAUCCUGAAGAGGGGGUGAAUUUCUUUGUCUAUUUGCUGAGGCCAAGCAGCCUUCAUGCAGGCUGCACUUAAGACACCCAUUUCAGAAUGACUGGAAAAAGCACUCGCCUCCUCUGAGGGAACACUGAGAGCUUGACCGUGUUAUUGAGUGACUUGUAUUGCUCCACAUAAAAACAUACUUACAUGAGUGCUUAGGGUGAGCUAGCUUUUUUUUUUUUCCUACUGAAAUGUAAUAGCAGUAAACUGAAGUUACUCAGCAUACCUCUAAAUACAAAUACAGAUUUUUCACAGACUGCUUUUCCAGAACACAAGUGUUUAUGGUUUCUCCUCAGACCAAGGUAAUACAUGGCUCAAGGGAAUGUAAAGAACAAGAGCUAUCUUGGGAAUCAAGUACGUUUUUAUAGAAUACAGGUGAACAGCCAAGCGGGAUGAAUACAAUUAUUUUUUAAAUCUUUUUUUAGUGUGUGGUUUGUGCUUGAAGGUCAUUGGGUUACUUUUAAGGGCACCACAAGCAAUUUGUUAAUUUUGCUAUAAAUCAUGUGCCUUUGUAGUAGUAGAAUCUACUAUCACUUGAAAGCAAUAGUUCUUCCCCAAAUCAGGAAAGCCUUUUGCUUCAAAAAUUAUAUAAAUAGCAUAAUCAUACUGUAAUCAGCCAGUGACAAAAAUAAGCUGUUUAAAGUUGUUUCCACUCAAUAAUCGGUACAGAAGUGGUUCAAAGAAGGUAAAAAAAGGGCACAAAAGAAUUCAGGCUUUGACAGCAACAUGCUGUGCUGUGCUGGCACAAUAGAGUGAGUGAAGCUAUAUGCAUUAUGGUAUGCAGUAUGUCAGACUGGAUUGUGAUAGUGAUGGAGUCUGGCCUUAAAAACCUAUGAAUCAUGGACAGAUUCCUUGCAUGAUGAAACAAGUUUACCUUGAGACAAACUUCCAAAUCCUAAAUGCUCUCCCUCUCUAAUUUCAGUAUUGGAGCCAGUAGGAUGAUCAAUUUACUUUGUGGUUUUCUAACAAAACUAAAACAAGUAAAAAAGAUUAGCAUUUUCCAAAGUGCCUACUUUAUUUUGGAGUCCUGGCUGGUGAGGUUCGCGCCCACAAAGUAAUUCACUUGCAUGUAACUCUCUUACCUAAAAGUGUCUCAAUUUGAUGGUGCCACUUUUGAUUAAAAACAAAAUAAUCUUUGGUUUUUCAAUAGCCUUUUCAUUCCUAGCAGAAUCUGGUAUUUUCUGGAUGCCUAACAGGAGCUUAAUACCUGAUGUCUUUGAAAAACAGUAUUGCUGUUACAAAUCUAUACAAGGAUUUAAAAAAAAAAUGCUUUGGGGGCCUGUUGAAACGAAAAGCAAAUGAAAUGUGCCCACGGUGGACAAGUGGCGGUCCCCAAGCAGAGUCCUGACUCUCUAGGAUCAGUGAGAUCCCACCCAGUGCCUUUUCUGCUGUGGCUAAAAGAAAACAACCAGCUGUGAGGGCAGCGCAUCUCCAAGGACAAAACACCUUUUCUUGGGUUUGCACACAACCAGUUAUUGAACCUCCAAGCUGCGAUUGUCUCAUCCAUCUUGGCCACAAAGGUCCCGAUAACAAUGCAUUACGUCGAUGUCUGAAAAUCUUCUCCUUGGCUGAAGUAGUCUUGUCACCCGCAGUACAGAUUCCUGGUCUUUUCAAGUGUUAACAGCCUCAUAUUAAACACCUGGUACAGGAACAAUGCAAAGAUACAGGAACGUGAACCACCUUCCGUCCUGUGCCUCUUGGUCGAGACACAGCUGAAAAGCGAAACCUGACGACUGCUGCACAGAGUGACCCCUGAGUCUGUUUAGCAGAACUGUGCCAGUUGAAUGCAUCAAGCACAUUGUUCACUGCCCGUGAACUUCACAAAUUGAGAAGUCACGCCGAUCUGUCUGCUUCCUGGAACAUGUAAAAUCCAUACUGGGGCUCAAGUAUGUACUAUGCUGUUUCAGAAAAAGGCAUUUAAAUAAAUCUUAUGUUUUGCAAAGUU